GCUUACGGCCACACCGCCCUGGUUCACGCCCGAUCUCGUUUGAUCUCGGAAGCUAAGAUGGGUUGGGCCUGGUUAGUAAUUGGAUGGGAGACCGCCUGGGAAUACCAGGUGCUGUAAGCU
rnacentral:rRNA from 1 species